rnacentral:tRNA from 1 species
GGCCUGGUGGCUCAGUUGGUAGUGUGUUUACGUCUACCUGCUGAACUGAAAGGUCGUGGGUUCAAUCCCCACCCAGGGCA